UACGUAGGGGGCGAGCGUUGUCCGGAAUCAUUGGGCGUAAAGCGCGUGUAGGCGGCCCGGUAAGUCCGCUGUGAAAGUCCAGGGCUCAACCCUGGGAUGCCGGUGGAUACUGUCGGGCUCGAGUCCGGAAGAGGCGAGUGGAAUUCCUGGUGUAGCGGUGAAAUGCGCAGAUAUCAGGAGGAACACCAAUGGCGAAGGCAGCUCGCUGGGACGUGACUGACGCUGAGACGCGAAAGCGUGGGGAGCAAACAG
rnacentral:rRNA from 1 species